CCUUCCUGUAAUUCAGGUUAUGGUCUCUCCUCUUUGGCUAAUGCCAGCGACCACCCUGUAAUGAGGGGACAGGUUGAAAUCUGGGGGAUUAGAAUCAUUUGCGUAACAUGGGCAGCUUGACCUCCCUGUAAGUAGGGUUUGAGUCUCCGAGGCCCUUUGGCUGCUUAGUGAGUGUGACUGCCCUGCAAUCAGGGUGCAAGUCACCUCCCCCUAAAUGUGGGGGGGGCAUUGAGCUCUUUGUUAAACUGAGCAAUGUGACCGCCCUGUAACUAGGGCCCGGGUCUCUGCCCACUUGCUCAUUUGGCUUUACGCCAUGCUCUGCCCCAUUAGUCAGCGUGACCCUCUAGUCUCUUGGCACUAGGCCAAAUGCAGCCACUGCCCCGAAUGAGCACCCUGUAAACAGGGUACAGGUCUCAUCAGCUACUAUUUAUGGUGCCCCCAUGAGACUGUGUCCAGAGUACCGGCCCUUUAAGCAGCGUUUGCAACGUGCCUGGAAUUCUGCAGCCAAGUCUCCUGCUUUCUCCUCCCUUCUUGGACGCUUGGAGACCUGACAUGCUAUUGGUGGCCUCAUGAAGCAGAAGUGGAGAAGAAGGAAGUGUCAGGAAUGCCACAGACAGAGGAGAAAAGAAGAUGGAGGAAAAGGAAAGGAACUCUGGGCACAGUACCCUCCCUGAAAUCAGCCUCAGGUCAUGUAAUUAGACUGUAUGGGAAUCUCGAGCCUUUUAAUACCUUGAGCAGCGUGACCACCCUGUAAGCUGGGUCCCGGUCUGUCCCCUUUGGACAUUCUGCUCCGUCAUCUGGCUAGUGUGAGUGACUGUCCUGUAAUGAGGGUGCCAGUCACCUCCCCCUAAAUGUGGAGGGGCAUUGAGCUCUUUCUUUAAUUGAGCAUUGUGACCGCCCUGUAACUAGGGUCCGUGUCUCUGCCCACUUGCUCAUUUGGCAUUACGCCGUGCUCUGCCCCACUAGUCAGCGUGACAACCCUGUAAUUAGGGUCCAUGUCACAAGGCUCUCCAGAAUGGGACAUAUCGAGCUCUUUGGUACUUUGACAGCUGGACCUUCCUGUAAUUCAGGUUAUGGUCUCUCCUCUUUGGCUAAUGCCAGCGACCACCCUGUAAUGAGGGGACAGGUUGCAUCUUGCUUUUUAAAUCUGGGGGAUUAGAAUCAUUUGCGUAACAUGGGCAGCUUGACCUCCCUGUAAGUAGGGUUUGAGUCUCCGAGGCCCUUUGGCUGCUUAGUGAGUGUGACUGCCCUGGAAUCAGGGUGCAAGUCACCUCCCCCUAAAUGUGGGGGGGGCAUUGAGCUCUUUGUUAAACUGAGCAAUGUGACCGCCCCGUAACUAGGGCCCGGGUCUCUGCCCACUUGCUCAUUUGGCUUUACGCCAUGCUCUGCCCCAUUAGUCAGCGUGACCCUCUAGUCUCUUGGCACUAGGCCAAAUGCAGCCACUGCCCCGAAUGAGCACCCUGUAAACAGGGUACAGGUCUCAUCAGCUACUAUUUAUGGUGCCCCCAUGAGACUGUGUCCAGAGUACCGGCCCUUUAAGCAGCGUUUGCAACGUGCCUGGAAUUCUGCAGCCAAGUCUCCUGCUUUCUCCUCCCUUCUUGGACGCUUGGAGACCUGACAUGCUAUUGGUGGCCUCAUGAAGCAGAAGUGGAGAAGAAGGAAGUGUCAGGAAUGCCACAGACAGAGGAGAAAAGAAGAUGGAGGAAAAGGAAAGGAACUCUGGGCACAGUACCCUCCCUGAAAUCAGCCUCAGGUCAUGUAAUUAGACUGUAUGGGAAUCUUGAGCCUUUUAAUACCUUGAGCAGUGUGACCACCCUGUAAGCUGGGUCCCGGUCUGUCCCCUUUGGACAUUCUGCUCCGUCAUCUGGCUAGUGUGAGUGACUGUCCUGUAAUGAGGGUGCCAGUCACCUCCCCCUAAAUGUGGAGGGGCAUUGAGCUCUUUCUUUAAUUGAGCAUUGUGACCGCCCUGUAACUAGGGUCCGGGUUUCUGCCCACUUGCUCAUUUGGCAUUACGCCGUGCUCUGCCCCACUAGUCAGCGUGACAACCCUGUAAUUAGGGUCCAUGUCACAAGGCUCUCCAGAAUGGGACUUAUCGAGCUCUUUGGUACUUUGACAGCUGGACCUUCCUGUAAUUCAGGUUAUGGUCUCUCCUCUUUGGCUAAUGCCAGCGACCACCCUGUAAUGAGGGGACAGGUUGCAUCUUGCUUUUGAAAUCUGGGGGAUUAGAAUCAUUUGCGUAACAUGGGCAGCUUGACCUCCCGGUAAGUAGGGUUUGUGUCUCUGAGGCCCUUUGGCUGCUUAGUGAGUGUGACUGCCCUGCAAUCAGGGUGCAUGUCACCUCCCCCUAAAUGUGGGGGGGCAUUGAGCUCUUUGUUAAACUGAGCAAUGUGACCGCCCUGUAACUAGGGCCCGGGUCUCUGCCCACUUGCUCAUUUGGCUUUACGCCAUGCUCUGCCCCAUUAGUCAGCGUGACCGCUCUGUAAUUAGGGUCUAUGUCACAAGUUACUCUUAAAUGGGACAUAUCGAGCUCUUUGGUACUUUGACAGCUGGACCUUCCUGUAAUUCAGGUUAUGGUCUCUCCUCUUUGGCUAAUGCCAGCGACCACCCUGUAAUGAGGGGACAGGUUGCAUCUUGCUUUUGAAAUCUGGGGGAUUAGAAUCAUUUGCGUAACAUGGGCAGCUUGACCUCCCUGUAAGUAGGGUUUGAGUCUCCGAGGCCCUUUGGCUGCUUAGUGAGUGUGACUGCCCUGCAAUCAGGGUGCAAGUCACCUCCCCCUAAAUGUGGGGGGGCAUUGAGCUCUUUGUUAAACUGAGCAAUGUGACCGCCCUGUAACUAGGGCCCGGGUCUCUGCCCACUUGCUCAUUUGGCUUUACGCCAUGCUCUGCCCCAUUAGUCAGCGUGACCCUCUAGUCUCUUGGCACUAGGCCAAAUGCAGCCACUGCCCCGAAUGAGCACCCUGUAAACAGGGUACAGGUCUCAUCAGCUACUAUUUAUGGUGCCCCCAUGAGACUGUGUCCAGAGUACCGGCCCUUUAAGCAGCGUUUGCAACGUGCCUGGAAUACUGCAGCCAAGUCUCCUGCUUUCUCCUCCCUUCUUGGACGCUUGGAGACCUGACAUGCUAUUGGUGGCCUCAUGAAGCAGAAGUGGAGAAGAAGGAAGUGUCAGGAAUGCCACAGACAGAGGAGAAAAGAAGAUGGAGGAAAAGGAAAGGAACUCUGGGCACAGUACCCUCCCUGAAAUCAGCCUCAGGUCAUGUAAUUAGACUGUAUGGGAAUCUCGAGCCUUUUAAUACCUUGAGCAGCGUGACCACCCUGUAAGCUGGGUCCCGGUCUGUCCCCUUUGGACAUUCUGCUCCGUCAUCUGGCUAGUGUGAGUGACUGUCCAGUAAUGAGGGUGCCAGUCACCUCCCCCUAAAUGUGGAGGGGCAUUGAGCUCUUUCUUUAAUUGAGCAUUGUGACCGCCCUGUAACUAGGGUCCGUGUCUCUGCCCACUUGCUCAUUUGGCAUUACGCCGUGCUCUGCCCCACUAGUCAGCGUGACAACCCUGUAAUUAGGGUCCAUGUCACAAGGCUCUCCAGAA